ensembl:lncRNA
UAGGGCUCUGGUCUAAAGUAGUACCACUAUAUAGGGAAUAGGGCUCUGGUCUAAAGUAGUACCACUAUAUAGGGAAUAGGGCUCUGGUCUAAAGUAGUACCACUAUAUAGGGAAUAGGGCUCUGGUUUAAAGUAGUGGACUAUAUAGGGAAUAGGGCUCUGUUCUAAAGUAGUGGACUAUAUAGGAAAUAGGACUCUGGUCUAAAGUAGUGCACUAUAUAGGGAAUAGGGCUCUGGUCUAAAGUAGUGGACUAUAUAGGGAAUAGGGCUCUGGUCUAAAGUAGUGGACUAUAUAGGGAAUAGGGCUCUGGUCUAAAGUAGUACACUAUAUAGGGAAUAGGGCUCUGUUCAACAGUAGUGCACUAUAUAGGGAAUAGGGCUCUGGUCUAUAGUAGUGCACUAUAUAGGGAAUAGGGCUCUGGUCAAAAGUAGUGCACUAUAUAGGGAAUAGGGCUCUGGUCAAAAGUAGUGCACUAUAUAGGGAAUAGGGCUCUGGUCUAAAGUAGUACCACUAUAUAGGGAAUAGGGCUCUGGUCUAAAGUAGUACCACUAUAUAGGGAAUAGGGCUCUGGUCUAAAGUAGUACCACUAUAUAGGGAAUAGGGCUCUGGUCUAAAGUAGUACCACUAUAUAGGGAAUAGGGCUCUGGUCUAAAGUAGUGGACUAUAUAGGGAAUAGGGCUCUGGUCUAAAGUAGUGGACUAUAUAGGGAAUAGGACUCUGGUCUAAAGUAGUGCACUAUAUAGGGAAUAGGGCUCUGGUCUAAAGUAGUGGACUAUAUAGGGAAUAGGGCUCUGGUCUAAAGUAGUGGACUAUAUAGGGAAUAGGGCUCUGGUCUAAAGUAGUACACUAUAUAGGGAAUAGGGCUCUGUUCAACAGUAGUGCACUAUAUAGGGAAUAGGGCUCUGGUCUAUAGUAGUGCACUAUAUAGGGAAUAGGGCUCUGGUCAAAAGUAGUGCACUAUAUAGGGAAUAGGGCUCUGGUCAAAAGUAGUGCACUAUAUAGGGAAUAGGGCUCUGGUCUAAAGUAGUGCACUAUAUAGGGAAUAGGGCUCUGGUCUAAAGUAGUGCACUAUAUAGGGAAUAGGGCUCUGGUCUAAAGUAGUGCACUAUAUAGGGAAUAGGGCUCUGGUCUAAAGUAGUGCACUAUAUAGGGAAUAGGACUCUGGUCUAUAGUAGUACCACUAUAUAGGGAAUAGGGCUCUGGUCUAUAGUAGUGGACUAUAUAGGGAAUAGGGCUCUGGUCUAAAGUAGUACCACUAUAUAGGGAAUAGGGCUCUGGUCUAUAGUAGUGGACUAUAUAGGGAAUAGGGCUCUGGUCUAUAGUAGUGGACUAUAUAGGGAAUAGGGCUCUGGUCUAAAGUAGUACCACUAUAUAGGGAAUAGGACUCUGGUCUAUAGUAGUGGACUAUAUAGGGAAUAGGGCUCUGGUCUAAAGUAGUACCACUAUAUAGGGAAUAGGGCUCUGGUCUAUAGUAGUAGCACUAUAUAGGGAAUAGGGCUCUGGUCUAAAGUAGUGCACUAUAUAGGGAAUAGGGCUCUGGUCUAAAGUAGUGCACUAUAUAGGGAAUAGGGCUCUGGUCUAAAGUAGUGCACUAUAUAGGGAAUAGGGCUCUGGUCUAAAGUAGUGCACUAUAUAGGGAAUAGGGCUCUGGUCUAAAGUAGUGCACUAUAUAUAUUCCCAGCUAGAUGUACCCUUACCAGACCAGACAGUACUCCCAAGUUCCCUUUGGAGAUCUAGGCUAUAAUUUCAUAGAUCUAUAUUUCCUAGGUAUCGGAUAGAGUCUAGAAUGAGAGUCAACAUGGGGCCAGCAUCCCUGUGGAACACUCUCGACACCUUGUAGAGUCAACAUGGGGCCAGCAUCCCUGUGGAACACUUUAGACACCUUGUAGAGUCCCAUAGCCCUGAUGAAUUGAGUCCCAUACCCCUGAUGAAUUGAGUCCCAUACCCCUGAUGAAUUGAGUCCCAUACCCCUGAUGAAUUGAGUCCCAUAGCCCUGAUGAAUUGAGUCCCAUACCCCUGAUGAAUUGAGUCCCAUACCCCUGAUGAAUUGAGUCCCAUACCCCUG